rnacentral:rRNA from 1 species
AUUGAACGCUGGCGGCAGGCCUAACACAUGCAAGUCGAACGAGUGGCGGACGGGUGAGUAAUGUCUGGGAAACUGCCCGAUGGAGGGGGAUAACUACUGGAAACGGUAGCUAAUACCGCAUACCAUCGGAUGUGCCCAGAUGGGAUUAGCUAGGGGGUGGGGUAAGGGCUCACCUAGGCGACGAUCCCUAGCUGGUCUGAGAGGAUGACCAGCCACACUGGAACUGAGACACGGGCCAGACUCCUACGUGAGGAAGCAGUGGGGAAUAUUGAACAAUGGGCGCAAGCCUGAUGCAGCCAUGCCGCGUGUAUGAAGAAGGCCUUAGGGUUGUAAAGUACUUUCAGCGGGGAGGCGUUACUCGCAGAAGAAGCACCGGCUAACUCCGUGCCAGCAGCCGCGGUAAUUC